GGAGGGAGUGACUAGUGACAGAGAGAGGGAUGGGGUGACUAGUGACAGAGUGUGGAAGGGGGUGACUAGGGACAGAGGGGGUGACUAGUGACAGAGUGAGGGAGCGGGUGACACAGUGACAGAGUUAGGGAGGGAGUGACUAGUGACAGAGAGAGGGAUGGGGUGACUAGUGACAGUCACCCCCUCCCUCUGUCACUAGUCACUCCCUCCCUCUGUUACUAGUCACUCCCUCACUCUGUCACCAGUCAUCCCCUCACUCUGUCACCAGUCACCCCUUCCCUCCCUCACUCUGCCACUAGUCAUCUUUUCCCUCCCUCACUCUGCCACUAGUCAUCUUUUCCCUCCCUCACU